GGGGAUGAUCGGCCUAGACAAAAGACGUGUCUCCAUUUGUGCAAGGUAGAGCUGAAAUAACUCUUAAAACUGUUUCAAAUCGUAACUGCAAAAAAUACAGUUGCAAAGGCCAAAGGAAUCCUUUCGCCAUACAUGGCAGGGUUCCCGGUCUUCGCUUACGCUUCGGCCUAAGCGAUGUUCCACGAGGUAACGUCUGAUAACUUCGUCGGGGCAUAAUACAAUCAGACUCCGGCGCGUUUCCGUUCCGACUCGCGCUAAGAACUUAGGAAAUCGCCCGCUCGAUAUUUGGUUCGCUUUUAAGUCGAGAUGGGUUAAACACUAAAGCAAACUACACCUUGUAGACCACAUGGUUUCAUUCAUUUGCACCGCGGUUCGAUUCCGCGCAUCUCCACUG
rnacentral:tmRNA from 3 species